rnacentral:snRNA from 1 species
AUCGCUUCUCGGCCUUUUGGCUAAGAUCAAGUGUAAAACAUCUUUUGUAGUAACUCAAAGACAUAUUAUUGCUUGUGGUUUGAUGAUUUAUUUGCUCUAUGUUGGAGAGUUUCUUUCCUUAUUUUACUGAUUUUCCUAUCAGUGAAAUGAGCUAAU